AACGCACCUUGCGCUCCGUGGUAUUCCGCGGAGCAUGCCUGUUUGAGUGUCGCACCCCCUCAAGGCCCGCCUCCGUUGAUUCGGGGGCGGCGGCCGCUGGAUCGUGGCCUCGGUCCCUCUCGCUCUCGGGCGCGGAGGGAAGGCCGAAAUGCGACGGGCGCCGACCUUGGCCGCUCGCGGUUCGACCGGAUCGAUUGUACGCACCCUUCGAGCCGGGACGCGGGCGGCCUCUCUCGCCCUUCUUUGGGCGGUCGGUCGCCACGAACCUGUGACUUUUAUCACUGUAGCACCUCAAAUCAGGUAGGACGACCCGCUGAACUUAA
rnacentral:misc_RNA from 1 species